CCUACGGGGGGCAGCAGUGAGGAAUAUUGGUCAAUGGACGAGAGUCUGAACCAGCCAAGUAGCGUGCAGGAUGACUGCCCUAUGGGUUGUAAACUUCUUUUAUAUGGGAAUAAACUGUUCCACGUGUGGGAUUUUGUAUGUACCAUAUGAAUAAGGAUCGGCUAAUUCCGUGCCAGCAGCCGCGGUAAUACGGAGGAUCCGUGCGUUAUCCGGAUUUAUUGGGUUUAAAGGGAGCGUAGGUGGAGUGUUAAGUAUGUUGUGAAAGUUUGCGGCUCAACCGUACACUUGCAGGUGAAACUGGCAGUCUUGAGUACAGUAGAGGUGGGCGGAAUUCGUGGUGUAGCGGUGAAAUGCUUAGAUAUCACGAAGAACUCCGAUUGCGAAGGCAGCUCACUGGAGUGCAACUGACACUGAGGCUCGAAAGUGUGGGUAUCAAACAGGAUUAGAUACCCUUGUAGUC
rnacentral:rRNA from 1 species